AUGGCGUUCAGGAACAAACUUCCUGUGAUUCUGCUGCUUCUGUGGACGUCAGGUGAAGAUGUGACCCAAACGCCGCUGCUGUGGACGGAGGAGGGCGGGACCGCCACCAUGAACUGCAGCCACAGCAGAGAUAUCAGCCACAUCCAGAUGUACUGGUACAGACAGCUGCCUGGAAAAACCAUGGAGCUGAUCGUCUUCACGUCUACAGCUCAGAAGGACUUUGGAGCUUUCAGCAAAGAGAAGUUCUCAGCCACCAAGACAGAAGCUGAGAGAGGAACCUUCACAGUGAAGGAGGUGCAGCCUGAAGAUAAAGGCUUGUAUUUCUGUGCUAGGGAGCUACAGAGUCAGAUGAUGAUGCAGAAGCGUUUCCAGCCUGUGGCUCCUCCCCUCUGA